rnacentral:tRNA from 1 species
CAGAGAAUAGUUAAAGUUAAAAUAUAAUAUUAGUUUUGGGGACUAUUGUUGGGGGCAACCUCUUCUCUGA